GAUGAACGCUAGCGGCAGGCUUAAUACAUGCAAGUCGAGGGGCAGCAGGUCUGUAGCAAUACAGAUGCUGGCGACCGGCAAACGGGUGUGGAACACGUACAGAACCUUCCUUUAAGUGGGGAAUAGCCCAGGGAAACUUGGAUUAAUACCCCGUAAUAUAAUAGAGUGGCAUCACUUUAUUAUUAUAGCUCCGGCGCUUGAAGAUGGCUGUGCGGCUGAUUAGGUAGUUGGCGGGGUAACGGCCCACCAAGCCUACGAUCAGUAACUGGUGUGAGAGCACGACCAGUCACACGGGCACUGAGACACGGGCCCGACUCCUACGGGAGGCAGCAGUAAGGAAUAUUGGGCAAUGGACGCAAGUCUGACCCAGCCAUGCCGCGUGGAGGAUGAAGGUCCUCUGGAUUGUAAACUUCUUUUAUAUGGGACGAAAAAAGGGCUUUCUAGCUCACUUGACGGUACCAUAUGAAUAAGCACCGGCUAACUCCGUGCCAGCCGCCGCAGUAAAAC
rnacentral:rRNA from 1 species